rnacentral:lncRNA from 1 species
CAUGCUCAUCCCUGACCAAUCAGGGUGGUUGGGGAAAUACAGGCAUUCUGAUUGGCCAGGCCUGAGUCACAUGAUACCCGGAGUGGCGUCAGCUCUGUUUGAAGCCUGUGGACUGAAAGAGAAGAGUAGGGACAGCUAAGGGAAAACUGGCUGCUGUUAGCACUGAAAACAAUGAACAGGUGCCGGGCUGCUGGGUCACUAUGCGACCACCCGUGGGUUGUGGCACUCUGUCCUUCCAGGAGAUGGAAAGGGGAACCACAGCGUCUUUUCUGCGUGGUGGGCACAGGGACUGGCUCACCAGCCACUCUAGGGGUGGGGAGAGAGGGGGUCUGGCAUCUGAGGCUGUCAUUUUGCCAUUUGCAGGCUGGUUAAAAACACAUUUUCUUUUGUUCCAGAUUCCGAAUCUGAGCCAAGCAGCAAGUAAUUUGCCCUUCUGUCCUCCGCAUCUCUAUUCUUCAAGCUGUUUUCCUGCCCUUCUCAAAAACCGACUCUCCAGCCAUUCUGGAAAGACUUCGGGCUGGCCACCGGCAAGUUCGAGCUGGAAUUCAGUAUUGGAGGAGAAUUUCCAUGGCAGUCUGUGCCACCAAGGGCCGUCGGGAGCCCCUGGCAAUAUGAUUCCGUCUGAAGAACAAAGAGGCAAAUUUGCUGAAGAUCAAAUGCAAAAGCAUCGUGAGAGGAGAGGGCUGGGAGUUACAGAUGAAAACGGUGCCGGUUCCAGCCCAGAUCUGAGAGCUGUGAAUAAUGGAGGAUCCACACACAGCCUGGGGUGCGUGGCUGUUGGAGGUGUGAGAGGAGACGGGGAUCCCCCCAACCUGGCUGAAGACACUUUGCUAGGAAGAAGUCAGGCCAGGCACAGUCCUCCAGGUAGGGUCAGCACAAAUGAAAAGCAAAGCAGAAAGAAGGAUGAUGGAGUCCAGGGGCGAGAGAGCUGA